rnacentral:rRNA from 1 species
UCAUAUGUACAUGCCUACAUUGUUAAUGCAUUGGAUCCCAUUAGAAAUCUAUAGUUAAGCACACUUGGGCUAGAGUAGUACUAGGAUGGGUGACCUCCCGAGAAGUCCUAAUGUUUUACAUGCC